UAUACUGCAGUCGAGCGAGUGAAUUAAUUGAUCCCUUCGGGGUGACGUUAAUGGAUCUAGCGUUGGACGGGUGAGUAACACGUGGGCAACCUGCCUGUAAGACUGGGAUAACUCGCGGAAACGCGAGCUAAUACCGGAUAACACUUCGAACCACAUGGUUUGAAGAUGAAAGGCGGCGCAAGCUGUCACUUACAGAUGGGCCCGCGGCGCAUUAGCUAGUUGGUGAGGUAACGGCUCACCAAGGCGACGAUGCGUAGCCGACCUGAGAGGGUGAUCGGCCACACUGGGACUGAGACACGGCCCAGACUCCUACGGGAGGCAGCAGUAGGGAAUCUUCCGCAAUGGACGAAAGUCUGACGGAGCAACGCCGCGUGAGUGAUGAAGGUUUUCGGAUUGUAAAACUCUGUUGUUAGGGAAGAACAAGUACAAUAGUAACUGAUUGUACCUUGACGGUACCUAACCAGAAAGCCCCGGCUAACUACGUGCCAGCAGCCGCGGUAAUACGUAGGGGGCAAGCGUUGUCCGGAAUUAUUGGGCGUAAAGCGCGCGCAGGCGGUCCUUUAAGUCUGAUGUGAAAGCCCACGGCUUAACCGUGGAGGGUCAUUGGAAACUGGAGGACUUGAGUGCAGAAGAGGAGAGUGGAAUUCCACGUGUAGCGGUGAAAUGCGUAGAGAUGUGGAGGAACACCAGUGGCGAACGCGACUCUCUGGUCUGUAACUGACGCUGAUGUGCGAAAGCCUGCGGAG
rnacentral:rRNA from 1 species